ACCAUUUUAAUUAUAUAAUCACCAUGCAUAAUCCAAAUUAAAUGAAAUUUUAGAUAUUAAUUCUUAACACUUCCCUGGAAUUUUUGACAUAGGUUUUAUAAUUUUUGGACUUCUGGUUUAUUAUCUAUGAAUUAUUGAGUUUGAGUAUGAAAUAAUGUGACAUAGUUGGAUAUGCUGAAUUCUUCUAAUUGAUUACCAUGCUUCCCUCUGGCCAAUGGCCCUGAUUUUUUGCAUGAAGCUUAUUUAACAUGUUAAGAUUCACUGUGAAUUUUUGUGGAUUUUUACAAUCUAUUUUCAAUUUGAUUCAUAUUUUUCCUUGCUGCCUAGCAUGUUAGAGCUUCAUUUGUGUAACCUUUUGUAUAUAUGUUGCCAUAUUCUCAUACUUAAUCCAAUGACCAUGAAAAUUGAUGACAUAAUUCCUAACAUGUAUAGCUAUCUUUUGGCUUCGGUCCUACUAAUUUCUAAUAUACCAUUGCUGUUUACCAUCUAAUUGAAGUUGGUGUAUAAUUGUAGGCUUCAUUUGAUGUAGUUUUUGCAUGCCUUGUCAUGUUUAAUUAAUUCCUAUUGAUCUACUAGUCCAAAUGACUUGAAAAUUAACAUGUGGCUUGCUGAAUGUCUUCUGAUUAGAACAUAAUUUUUGUGGAUUUUUUU
rnacentral:lncRNA from 1 species